GUCAGCAUGGUGUAGUGGUUUGCAGGUUAGACUGAGAUUCUGGAGACCAGGAUUCGAUUCCUGUUUCGGUC